rnacentral:rRNA from 1 species
GUUGCCAUCAUUCAGUUGGGCACUCUAAGGGGACUGCCGGUGAUAAGCCGAGAGGAAGGUGGGGAGUGACGUCAAGUCCUCAUGGCCCUUACGGGCUGGGCUACACACGUGCUACAAUGGUGGUGACAGUGGGCAGCGAGACCGCGAGGUCGAGCUAAUCUCCAAAAGCCAUCUCAGUUCGGAUUGCACUCUGCAACUCGAGUGCAUGAAGUUGGAAUCGCUAGUAAUCGCGGAUCAGCAUGCCGCGGUGAAUACGUUCCCGGGCCUU